UUAAGCGACUAAGCGUACACGGUGGAUGCCCUGGCAGUCAGAGGCGAUGAAGGACGUGCUAAUCUGCGAUAAGCGCCGGUAAGGUGAUAUGAACCGUUAUAACCGGCGAUUUCCGAAUGGGGAAACCCAGUGUGAUUCGUCACACUAUCAUUAACUGAAUCCAUAGGUUAAUGAGGCGAACCGGGGGAACUGAAACAUCUAAGUACCCCGAGGAAAAGAAAUCAACCGAGAUUCCCCCAGUAGCGGCGAGCGAACGGGGAGGAGCCCAGAGCCUGAAUCAGCAUGUGUGUUAGUGGAAGCGUCUGGAAAGGCGCGCGAUACAGGGUGACAGCCCCGUACACAAAAGCGCAUGUGCUGUGAGCUCGAUGAGUAGGGCGGGACACGUGGUAUCCUGUCUGAAUAUGGGGGGACCAUCCUCCAAGGCUAAAUACUCCUGACUGACCGAUAGUGAACCAGUACCGUGAGGGAAAGGCGAAAAGAACCCCGGCGAGGGGAGUGAAAAAGAACCUGAAACCGUGUACGUACAAGCAGUGGGAGCACAGGUUUACCUGUGUGACUGCGUACCUUUUGUAUAAUGGGUCAGCGACUUAUAUUCUGUAGCAAGGUUAACCGUAUAGGGGAGCCGUAGGGAAACCGAGUCUUAACCGGGCGUUAAGUUGCAGGGUAUAGACCCGAAACCCGGUGAUCUAGCCAUGGGCAGGUUGAAGGUUGGGUAACACUAACUGGAGGACCGAACCGACUAAUGUUGAAAAAUUAGCGGAUGACCUGUGGCUGGGGGUGAAAGGCCAAUCAAACCGGGAGAUAGCUGGUUCUCCCCGAAAGCUAUUUAGGUAGCGCCUCGUGAAUUCAUCUCCGGGGGUAGAGCACUGUUUCGGCUAGGGGGCCAUCCCGGCUUACCAACCCGAUGCAAACUGCGAAUACCGGAGAAUGUUAUCACGGGAGACACACGGCGGGUGCUAACGUCCGUCGUGAAGAGGGAAACAACCCAGACCGCCAGCUAAGGUCCCAAAGUCAUGGUUAAGUGGGAAACGAUGUGGGAAGGCCCAGACAGCCAGGAUGUUGGCUUAGAAGCAGCCAUCAUUUAAAGAAAGCGUAAUAGCUCACUGGUCGAGUCGGCCUGCGCGGAAGAUGUAACGGGGCUAAACCAUGCACCGAAGCUGCGGCAGCGAACGUAUCACUUAAAGCGAUUCAGCGGGUUACGAUUGACGGAGCGAAGCGACGUCAAAGCGUAUACAAAGUCGAGUCGGUUUAAGGAUACGUUCGUUGGGUAGGGGAGCGUUCUGUAAGCCUGCGAAGGUGGCCUGUGAGGGUUGCUGGAGGUAUCAGAAGUGCGAAUGCUGACAUAAGUAACGAUAAAGCGGGUGAAAAGCCCGCUCGCCGGAAGACCAAGGGUUCCUGUCCAACGUUAAUCGGGGCAGGGUGAGUCGACCCCUAAGGCGAGGCCGAAAGGCGUAGUCGAUGGGAAACGGGUUAAUAUUCCCGUACUUGGUGUUACUGCGAAGGGGGGACGGAGAAGGCUAUGUUGGCCGGGCGACGGUUGUCCCGGUUUAAGCGUGUAGGUGUGUGUUCCAGGUAAAUCCGGUUCACUUUAACACUGAGGCGUGAUGACGAGGCACUACGGUGCUGAAGCAACAAAUGCCCUGCUUCCAGGAAAAGCCUCUAAGCAUCAGGUAACAUCAAAUCGUACCCCAAACCGACACAGGUGGUCAGGUAGAGAAUACCAAGGCGCUUGAGAGAACUCGGGUGAAGGAACUAGGCAAAAUGGUGCCGUAACUUCGGGAGAAGGCACGCUGACACGUAGGUGAAGUGAUUUACUCAUGGAGCUGAAGUCAGUCGAAGAUACCAGCUGGCUGCAACUGUUUAUUAAAAACACAGCACUGUGCAAACACGAAAGUGGACGUAUACGGUGUGACGCCUGCCCGGUGCCGGAAGGUUAAUUGAUGGGGUCAGCGCAAGCGAAGCUCCUGAUCGAAGCCCCGGUAAACGGCGGCCGUAACUAUAACGGUCCUAAGGUAGCGAAAUUCCUUGUCGGGUAAGUUCCGACCUGCACGAAUGGCGUAAUGAUGGCCAGGCUGUCUCCACCCGAGACUCAGUGAAAUUGAACUCGCUGUGAAGAUGCAGUGUACCCGCGGCAAGACGGAAAGACCCCGUGAACCUUUACUAUAGCUUGACACUGAACAUUGAGCCUUGAUGUGUAGGAUAGGUGGGAGGCUUUGAAGUGUGGACGCCAGUCUGCAUGGAGCCGACCUUGAAAUACCACCCUUUAAUGUUUGAUGUUCUAACGUGGACCCGUUACCCGGGUUGCGGACAGUGUCUGGUGGGUAGUUUGACUGGGGCGGUCUCCUCCUAAAGAGUAACGGAGGAGCACGAAGGUUGGCUAAUCCUGGUCGGACAUCAGGAGGUUAGUGCAAUGGCAUAAGCCAGCUUGACUGCGAGCGUGACGGCGCGAGCAGGUGCGAAAGCAGGUCAUAGUGAUCCGGUGGUUCUGAAUGGAAGGGCCAUCGCUCAACGGAUAAAAGGUACUCCGGGGAUAACAGGCUGAUACCGCCCAAGAGUUCAUAUCGACGGCGGUGUUUGGCACCUCGAUGUCGGCUCAUCACAUCCUGGGGCUGAAGUAGGUCCCAAGGGUAUGGCUGUUCGCCAUUUAAAGUGGUACGCGAGCUGGGUUUAGAACGUCGUGAGACAGUUCGGUCCCUAUCUGCCGUGGGCGCUGGAGAACUGAGGGGGGCUGCUCCUAGUACGAGAGGACCGGAGUGGACGCAUCACUGGUGUUCGGGUUGUCAUGCCAAUGGCACUGCCCGGUAGCUAAAUGCGGAAGAGAUAAGUGCUGAAAGCAUCUAAGCACGAAACUUGCCCCGAGAUGAGUUCUCCCUGAGACUUUAGGUCUCCUGAAGGAACGUUGAAGACGACGACGUUGAUAGGCCGGGUGUGUAAGCGCAGCGAUGCGUUGAGCUAACCGGUACUAAUGAACCGUGAGGCUUAACCU
rnacentral:rRNA from 1 species